GAGUUUGAUCGUGGCUCAGGACGAACGCUGGCGGCGUGCUUAACACAUGCAAGUCGAACGGAAAGGCCCUUUCGGGGGUGCUCGAGUGGCGAACGGGUGAGUAACACGUGGGUGAUCUGCCCUGCACUUUGGAAUAAGCCUGGGAAACUGGGUCUAAUACCGGAUAGGACUACGGCCUGCAUGGGUUGUGGUGGAAAGCUUUUGCGGUGUGGGAUGGGCCCGCGGCCUAUCAGCUUGUUGGUGGGGUGAUGGCCUACCAAGGCGACGACGGGUAGCCGGCCUGAGAGGGUGUCCGGCCACACUGGGACUGAGAUACGGCCCAGACUCCUACGGGAGGCAGCAGUGGGGAAUAUUGCACAAUGGGCGCAAGCCUGAUGCAGCGACGCCGCGUGGGGGAUGACGGCCUCGGUU
rnacentral:rRNA from 1 species